CAAAGAAGAGCUGCUCUACAGCCACAGACUCUGGUCAGGAGAAGAGAUUUUCCAGUGCCCACUCCCCUGGGUUCAGUCUGUGAAGCUGCAAAAAUGGCAGACUGGAAGACUCGGAUGGCUUUCAUCAAUCUGAAUCUCUCAGUAUUCAACAGGUGAAAACCUAUUUUCAGAACUGAAGGAGGAAGUUUAGGAAAAGCAGCACAUGAUGUAGAGAAAUUUCAGCACUGUGGCUCGACAGGAG